rnacentral:rRNA from 1 species
AGCGAACGCUGGCGGCAGGCCUAACACAUGCAAGUCGAACGAACCUUUCGGGGUUAGUGGCGGACGGGUGAGUAACACGUGGGAACGUGCCUUUAGGUUCGGAAUAACUCAGAGAAACUUGUGCUAAUACCGAAUGUGCCCUUCGGGGGAAAGAUUUAUCGCCUUUAGAGCGGCCCGCGUCUGAUUAGCUAGUUGGUUGAGGUAAUGGCUCACCAAGGCGACGAUCAGUAGCUGGUCUGAGAGGAUGAUCAGCCACAUUGGGACUGAGACACGGCCCAAAAUCCUACGGGAGGGAGGAGUGGGGAAUCUUGCGCAAUGGGCGAAAGCAUGACGGAGCCAUGCCGCGUGAAUGAUGAAGGUAUUAGGAUUGUAAAAUUCUUUCAACGGGGACGAUAAUGACGGUACCCGGAGAAGAAGCCCCGGCUAACUUCGUG